rnacentral:tRNA from 1 species
UAUUUUAAUAGCUUAUGUAGAGCAUAGUAUUGAAGAUACUAGUGAAAUGGAAAUUUUAAAGUAC